AGCGAACGUUUGCGGCGGGCCUAACACAUGCAAGUCGAACGGGCUAGCAAUAGUCAGUGGCGCACGGGUGCGUAACACGUGGGUAAUCAACCCUUCAGCUCGGGAUAACGCCUUGAAAGGGGCGCUAAUACCGGAUGCGACGCGAGGAGCCUCGGCGCUUCGCGGGAAAGAUUCGCAAGGAUCACUGAAGGACGAGCCUGCGGCCCAUCAGCUAGUUGGUGAGGUAAGAGCUCACCAAGGCGAAGACGGGUAGCUGGUCUGAGAGGAUGAUCAGCCACACUGGAACUGAGACACGGUCCAGACUCCUACGGGAGGCAGCAGUGGGGAAUAUUGCGCAAUGGGCGAAAGCCUGACGCAGCCACGCCGCGUGAGCGAUGAAGGCCU
rnacentral:rRNA from 1 species